GAUGAACGCUAGCUACAGGCUUAACACAUGCAAGUCGAGGGGCAGCAUGACGAUAGCUUGCUAUUGUCGAUGGCGACCGGCGCACGGGUGAGUAACGCGUAUCCAACUUCCCGUUGCUAGGGGAUAACCUUGCGAAAGUAAGACUAAUACCCUAUGAAGUUCUUCGCAGACAUCUAAAGAGAACGAAAGAUUUAUCGGCAACGGAUGGGGAUGCGUCUGAUUAGGUUGUUGGCGGGGUAACGGCCCACCAAGCCCACGAUCAGUAGGGGGUUCUGAGAGGAAGGUCCCCCCACAUUGGAACUGAGACACGGUCCAAACUCCUACGGGAGGCAGCAGUGAGGAAUAUUGGUCAAUGGGCGAGAGCCUGAACCAGCCAAGUAGCGUGCAGGAAGACGGCCCUAUGGGUUGUAAACUGCUUUUAUAGGGGAAUAAAGUGAGCCACGUGUGGUUUUUUGCAUGUACCCUAUGAAUAAGGACCGGCUAAUUCCGUG
rnacentral:rRNA from 1 species